rnacentral:rRNA from 1 species
UUUGAGAGAAGGGAUGACACAGUAGGAUAAGCUAAGCACACUGUUGGUUAUGUGUGCCCAAGCAUUGAGGCAGGCAAAGUAGGCAAAUCCGCUUUGAUAAUGCUGGGAUGUGAUGGGGAGCGAAAUUUAGUAGCGAAGUAGCUGAUUUCACACUGUCAAGAAAAGUCUCUAUCGAGGUUAAAGGUACCCGUACCGAAAACCGACACAGGUGGGUGAGGAGAGUAUCCUAAGGCCAGCGAGAGAACUGUUGUUAAGGAACUCGGCAAAAUGACCCCGUAACUUAGGGAUAAGGGGUGCCACCAUCAGGUGGCCGCAGAGAAUAGGCCCAAGCGACUGUUUACCAAAAACAUAGGUUUCUGCUAAGUCGCAAGACGAUGUAUAGG